ACGCUGGCGGCAGGCUUAACACAUGCAAGUCGAGCGGAGAUGAGGUGCUUGCACCUUAUCUUAGCGGCGGACGGGUGAGUAAUGCUUAGGAAUCUGCCUAUUAGUGGGGGACAACAUUCCGAAAGGAAUGCUAAUACCGCAUACGUCCUACGGGAGAAAGCAGGGGAUCUUCGGACCUUGCGCUAAUAGAUGAGCCUAAGUCGGAUUAGCUAGUUGGUGGGGUAAAGGCCUACCAAGGCGACGAUCUGUAGCGGGUCUGAGAGGAUGAUCCGCCACACUGGGACUGAGACACGGCCCAGACUCCUACGGGAGGCAGCAGUGGGGAAUAUUGGACAAUGGGGGGAACCCUGAUCCAGCCAUGCCGCGUGUGUGAAGAAGGCCUUAUGGUUGUAAAGCACUUUAAGCGAGGAGGAGGCUACUGAGACUAAUACUCUUGGAUAGUGGACGUUACUCGCAGAAUAAGCACCGGCUAACUCUGUGCCAGCAGCCGCGGUAAUACAGAGGGUGCGAGCGUUAAUCGGAUUUACUGGGCGUAAAGCGUGCGUAGGCGGCUUUUUAAGUCGGAUGUGAAAUCCCCGAGCUUAACUUGGGAAUUGCAUUCGAUACUGGGAAGCUAGAGUAUGGGAGAGGAUGGUAGAAUUCCAGGUGUAGCGGUGAAAUGCGUAGAGAUCUGGAGGAAUACCGAUGGCGAAGGCAGCCAUCUGGCUUAAUACUGACGCUGAGGUACGAAAGCAUGGGGAGCAAACAGGAUUAGAUACCCUGGUAGUCCAUGCCGUAAACGAUGUCUACUAGCCGUUGGGGCCUUUGAGGCUUUAGUGGCGCAGCUAACGCGAUAAGUAGACCGCCUGGGGAGUACGGUCGCAAGACUAAAACUCAAAUGAAUUGACGGGGGCCCGCACAAGCGGUGGAGCAUGUGGUUUAAUUCGAUGCAACGCG
rnacentral:rRNA from 1 species